UACGUAGGGGGCAAGCGUUGUUCGGAUUUACUGGGCGUAAAGGGCGCGUAGGCGGCGUGGUAAGUCACUUGUGAAAUCUCCGAGCUUAACUCGGAACGGUCAAGUGAUACUGCUGUGCUAGAGUGCAGAAAGGGCAAUCGGAAUUCUUGGUGUAGCGGUGAAAUGCGUAGAUAUCAAGAGGAACACCUGAGGCGAAGGCGGGUUGCUAGGCUGACACUGACGCUGAUGCGCGAAAGCUAGGGUAGCAAACGGG
rnacentral:rRNA from 1 species